rnacentral:rRNA from 1 species
AGCAGUAGCCGCGGGAAUACCAGCACCUCGAGUGGUCAGGAGGUUUAUUGGGCCUAAAGCAUCCGUAGCCGGUUGCAUAAGUUUUCGGUUAAAUCUAUGCGCUUAACGUAUAGGCCGCCGAAAAUACUGUGCAGCUAGGGAGUGGGAGAGGUACACGGUACUCGAUAGGAAGGGGUAAAAUCCUUUGAUCUAUUGAUGACCACCUGUGGCGAAGGCGGUGUACCAGAACACGUUCGACGGUGAGGGAUGAAGGCUGGGGGAGCAAACCGGAUUAGAGACCCCUGUAGUCCCUGUCUCUUAUAC